rnacentral:rRNA from 2 species
UACGUAGGGGGCAAGCGUUGUCCGGAUUUAUUGGGCGUAAAGAGCGUGUAGGCGGCCAAGUAAGUCUGCUGUGAAAACUCGAGGCUUAACCUCGAGCUGUCGGCGGAAACUAUUUGGCUAGAGUCCGGAAGAGGAGAAUGGAAUUCCCGGUGUAGCGGUGAAAUGCGCAGAUAUCGGGAAGAACACCCGUGGCGAAGGCGGUUCUCUGGGACGGUACUGACGCUGAGACGCGAAAGCGUGGGGAGCGAACAGG